AACGAACGCUGGCGGCAUGCCUAACACAUGCAAGUCGAACGAGACCUUCGGGUCUAGUGGCGCACGGGUGCGUAACGCGUGGGAAUCUGCCCCUUGGUUCGGAAUAACUUCGGGAAACUGAAGCUAAUACCGGAUAAUGACGUAAGUCCAAAGAUUUAUCGCCAAGGGAUGAGCCCGCGUAGGAUUAGCUAGUUGGUGGGGUAAAGGCUCACCAAGGCGACGAUCCUUAGCUGGUCUGAGAGGAUGAUCAGCCACACUGGGACUGAGACACGGCCCAGACUCCUACGGGAGGCAGCAGUGGGGAAUAUUGGACAAUGGGCGAAAGCCUGAUCCAGCAAUGCCGCGUGAGUGAUGAAGGCCUUAGGGUUGUAAAGCUCUUUUUACCCGGGAAGGAUAAUGACUGUACCGGGAGAAUAAGCCCCGGCUAACUCCGUGCCAGCAGCCGCGGUAAU
rnacentral:rRNA from 1 species